UAAAAAGAGAAAUUUGUGUGAAUGGAUUGCAAGUAUGACAUUCAUACAGUGCUGUUCAGAGUAAACUUCAGGAUGCCAGGAUACACAGAGAAGCUACUGAUGAAGUCCAUGACCAGGCUGAGGACCUAGGAAUGGGUACUACCCACAGGAACUAAUACGGAAAGGAGAAGAGUGGGAUUAAGCAUUCUGGUAAGUGUAGGUGAUAGUGGACAUCAGGGAAACAAGCUGAGAUCUUAGUGGAGAAGAGAGGAGGAAGAGACUUCCAAACAUGCUCUGUAGGAACUGUUGGGGACUGGAAGAAGAUCCAAGGGAAGACAGGCACUAAAACCAGAGGAAGACAAGGUUUUCCAAAGAACACGAUCAAUGAUGUCCAAGCAGACAAUGGGUCUGGAAGGAUAUUCCUGUGGCACAGAUACCAAGUCUCUCUGUGAGGGGUCGCUGAAAGUUUAGGAGAGAGAGCUUAAGGGAACCAUGUAAAAGAUGGAAGCCACCAUCACAAGACGCAACCAAAGUGGAAGCAGGAAAUUCCUGCCAAGGGAUAGAACAGGGGGAUGUAGCCAGAAGAGCUGGAUCCCUCUGCUAAACCAGGUUCCUGCUCAUGCUGAGGAAGAGGGCAAGAACAAGCACCAGGAUGCAGCUGGGAAGAGGAGACAACUUCUGCUAAUUGAUGGUGACCUCAUGGUAGAUUAGGCCAACCUAAAUACCCCCCUUUUGCAAGCAUGCCUCCCCAAAACUGCUCACCACACCAUUUCUGAUCCAUGGGAGGAGGAGAUGGAGACAGGGAGUGAAGGGGGAGGCUGGCACAUGGAUGUCCUGUACCCUAGAGCUGUGGUGGGUUAAACUGCUGUGGAAGUGUGCCUCUGUGUAAUCUGAGGGUUGCGCUCUGAUUUGCAAACAUGCAUGAUGGCAAAUCAUUAGCAAGAUGAGGAAGAGCUUUAUUCUGAGAUUUUUGCUUUUAUUUAUUUUGUGUGUGUCCAGCUCUGGUGUUUUGGGUGGGACGUAUUGUCUUUGAUGACAUUUCCAUGUGCAGAAGUGUAAAAAUGACCAAGUUUGCUUUCAUUAUAAUUAGAAAAAAUAUU
rnacentral:lncRNA from 1 species